UGAACGCUGGCGGCGUGCCUACUACAUGCACGUCGAGCGAACAGAUGAGGAGCUUGCUCCUCUGACGUUAGCGGCGGACGGGUGAGUAACACGUGGAUAACCUACCUAUAAGACUGGGAUAACUUCGGGAAACCGGAGCUAAUACCGGAUAAUAUAUUGAACCGCAUGGUUCAAUAGUGAAAGACGGUUUUGCUGUCACUUAUAGAUGGAUCCGCGCCGCAUUAGCUAGUUGGUAAGGUAACGGCUUACCAAGGCAACGAUGCGUAGCCGACCUGAGAGGGUGAUCGGCCACACUGGAACUGAGACACGGUCCAGACUCCUACGGGAGGCAGCAGUAGGGAAUCUUCCGCAAUGGGCGAAAGCCUGACGGAGCAACGCCGCGUGAGUGAUGAAGGUCUUCGGAUCGUAAAACUCUGUUAUUAGGGAAGAACAAAUGUGUAAGUAACUAUGCACGUCUUGACGGUACCUAAUCAGAAGGCCACGGCUAACUACGUG
rnacentral:rRNA from 1 species